rnacentral:rRNA from 1 species
CAGUUAAAAAGCUCGUAGUUGGAUUUCGGAGUGGGCCAGUUGGUCCGCCGCAAGGUGUGUUACUGACUGGUUUGCUCUUCUUCGCAAAGACUGCGUGUGCUCUUGAGUGAGUGUGCGUAGGAUUUACGACGUUUACUUUGAAAAAAUUAGAGUGUUCAAAGCAGGCUAUUGCUUGAAUACAUGAGCAUGGAAUAAUGGAAUAGGACUUUGGUCCCAUUUUGUUGGUUUCUAGGGCCGAAGUAAUGAUUAAGAGGGACAAUUGGGGGCAUCCGUAUUUCGUUGUCAGAGGUGAAAUUCUUGGAUUUACGAAAGACGAACAACUGCGAAAGCACUUGCCAAGAGUGUUUUCAUUAAUCAAGAACGAAAGUUAGAGGAUCGAAGACGAUCAGAUACCGUCCUAGUUCUAACCAUAAACGAUGUCGACUAGGGAUCAGCGGGCGUUAUCGUACGACCCCGUUGGCACCUUACGGGAAACCAAAGUUUUUGGAUUCCGGGGGAAGCAUGGUUGCAAAGCUGAAACUUAAAGGAAUUGACGGAAGGGCACCACCAAGAGUGGAGCCUGUGGCUCAAUUUUGACUCA